rnacentral:misc_RNA from 1 species
GCCCAUCAACACUCAGUCGACCCCUGCACACACCGUGUGAUAGAGGACUGACCUGAUGUGGACAAUGGACCUCCGAGCCAGUAAUGGCACGGUGGGCUGAAGUUAAUGGUCGUCGGAUGGUAACGGGAUCGGCGAGUGGUGGGCUAACUGCGCAAGCCAAUCCCGGCUGCCAUGUCGACAUAUUGCCUCUUUUGAACCCCAAAUGAGGAGAUUGUCGUCGCAACAUCUAAGUUGUGCGGCAAUUUCGGACC